AUACGGAGGGUGCAAGCGUUAUUCGGAAUCACUGGGCGUAAAGGACGCGUAGGCGGGUUGGCAAGUCAGAUGUGAAAUCCUACAGCUUAACUGUAGAACUGCAUUUGAAACUGCUAACCUAGAGUAUGGGAGGGGGAGAUGGAAUUAGUGGUGUAGGGGUAAAAUCCGUAGAUAUCUCUAGGAAUACCGAAAGCGAAGGCGAUCUCCUGGAACAUAACUGACGCUAAGGCGUGAAAGCGUGGGGAGCAAACAGGAUUAGAAACCCUUGUAGUCC
rnacentral:rRNA from 1 species